GCUGGGCAUGGCGGCGCGUGCCUGUAAUCCCAGCUACUCAGGAGGCUGAGGCAGGAGAAUUGCCUGAACUCAGGAGGCGGAGGUUGCGGUGAGCCAAGAUUGCACCAUUGCACUCCAGCCUGGGUAACAAGAGUGAAACUCUGUCUCAAAAAAAAAAAAAAAAUUAUUAUUAUUUGAAACAGAGUUUCACUCAUUGCCCAGGCUAGAGUGCAAUGGUGCAAUCUCGGCCCAUUGCAACCUCCGCCUCCUGGGUUCAAGUGAUUCUCCUGCCUCAG
rnacentral:SRP_RNA from 1 species